AUGUUCGGCAUGGACACCAACGGCGAGAUGGCGGUGUUCGACGCCGCCACGCUCGGCGCCCUACAGCUGGUCGCGCGUCCGCCGGACAUGCCCGACCUCAGCAGCAAGAUGUACGGCUCCAGCUGCCCUCGGAAGGAAGAGUUGGAUUACGUGCACCUCGUCGCGUUGCCGAGCAAGCUGGUCCUGGUCGUGGCAAGGACCACCGUCAAGUCGUCCCGGCCGGUGGCCUUCGACCUCUUCGAGCUGGUCGCUUCUCCGGCGCCUGACGGGCAGCUCGCAUGGCGCAAGGUGGCCGAGGCUGGUAACUACGAAUUGUUCGUCGAUAGGUACCACGCAACCUUCUGGGAAAAUGACGGCGCCAAUGGGGGCGGAACUCGGAUCUACUACGUCCAUGACAAGAAGAAGGUUUCUACCGUCGCGGCAUACUGCUACAGCACGCAGGAAAACAAGUUGGAAUGCGUCUACAGGUCACCGGAGGAUGAUGGCCUUCCCGACUGCUUAACUAGGCCUAGUUGGUUUGUUCCUUAG
rnacentral:rRNA from 1 species